rnacentral:rRNA from 1 species
GACGAACGCUGGCGGCGUGCUUAAUACAUGCAAGUCGUACGGUAAGGCCCUUUCGGGGGUACACGAGUGGCGAACGGGUGAGUAACACGUGAGUAACCUGCCCACAACUUUGGGAUAACGCUAGGAAACUGGUGCUAAUACUGGAUAUGUGCUCCUGCUGCAUGGUGGGGGUUGGAAAGCUCCGGCGGUUGUGGAUGGACUCGCGGCCUAUCAGCUUGUUGGUGGGGUAGUGGCCUACCAAGGCGGCGACGGGUAGCCGGCCUGAGAGGGUGACCGGCCACAUUGGGACUGAGAGACGGCCCAGACUCCUACGGGAGGCAGCAGUGGGGAAUAUUGCACAAUGGGCGCAAGCCUGAUGCAGCAACGCCGCGUGCGGGAUGACGGCCUUCGGGUUGUAAACCGCUUUCAGCAGGGACGAAGCUUUUUGUGACGGUACCUGCAGAAGAAGCACCGGCUAACUACGUG